GCAGAGCAGAGAGAAACAAUGCUGCCAGUGCCUAGUAAAAUAACGUCUGGGAGUGAAAAAAUGAAAGAGAGAAAGAUUUAACAACAAAUGAGUCAGCAGCAGCCCUGUCUCCCCAUAGCGUUACGCCUCCCUGUCCCAGUGAAGAAGGCUGCAAGGAGAAAGACAAGCUGGGCAGGAAGACAGAGGGGCAUGUGUGCAUGCAUUAGGACAAGAGCUGCUGGGGUCCAGGCGAUCACGUUUAAACUUGUGUCCAUUCACAAAUGUCCAACAAAGCGUUGCCGUGGUAACCAUGUGAGCGCUGCUACGACUGAGGAAUGCACGCUCACUCCACAUCGAAAUAUUGAAGACCGACAAUCUUUGCGCCCAAAUGCAAAUGAGAAGAUGUUUGGACACGAUGGUACACAUGACGUCAUCGGCUCCUUUCAUCAGCCACCUCAUGCUUGAGUCUUGGAGAACUAAAAGUCAAAGAAGAAGCAAAGCUAAUGACGCCUGGACUUGUCUUCAUAGCGCCCCCAGGCAGGCCCACAGUGUUCAGGAGGCCAGAAGCCCUGGUCUGGUCUUGUCGGCAGGUGAGUCCAGACUAGAGUUUUCUCCAUCUUCAUGAUAGGAUUGUAGCAGUGCGGCUAAUCAAUGUGCAGCACAGAACCAUCAGACGACCCGAACCAAACAAAGGCUCACGAAAGUCCCGGUCGGUCCGGCGGAUAAGCUCCUGCACAGGAUUACAUAUUGAUUGUCAACGCCUAAAGAGCUUAUCAGAGCUGGAAAGACUCCAAAGUGGUCCUGCACCACAUCAACUUUUAAGAGACAAAUACAUUCACGAGAAACUAAAAGUGGACCAAUCCAUGGCCGGGCCACAUUGGUCCUCAUGUUUACCGCCUUGAUUUUUUUAGACUGUUUAGCUGAAGAUCUGUUUUUCCUCCACAUCAAUUAUAUUUGUCUAGCAGGGCUGUCCAAACUCUUCCACCAGGGGCAGCAUAGUGAACAUUUUUCAUUUAAGGGCCACUUCCUGUGUAAGUCAAGAUAUGAUAAGCAGUCCUCGUGUUACAACACUUUCCCAUAAAUUAUGAAUCAUUAAUACUGUACAAAAAGAAACACAGAACUAGUUGCGUGCGCACGGCAGAAGAAUACGUGGUCGUCCUAGGAGUGUAAGCUAUGGAAAGUGACAGUGAAAAGUGAAAUUAGGCGUCGUAAAGUACUCAGAAAGUGGAGAAAUGCUGAUCAGCAUUGGCUGCAUGACCGGUCUAAGCCGCUCAAAUGUUGCGACAAUCAUCAAGGAUAAAGAUGGAAAGGAUUGAUCAGCUCCUAUGAAAUUGACAGUGAUCAUUAAGUAAGUAGUUGUCUCAUUAUUUUCUUUAAUAAUUUUUUUAUGGACCAGUCCAGGGUGUACCCUGCUUCUCGUCCAUGGCCAGCUGGGGUAGGUGCCAGCAUACCCCCGCGAUACCACAGCUAUCAUAUGAAUACAUUUAUUUAGUGAUUUUUACUUUUUUUUUUUAAGUUUUGUAACUUUCAGUCAUUCAUUCAUUAAUUUUCUAUGCUGCUGGUCCUCACUAGGGUCCCGGUGGUAUGCUGGAGCCUAUCCCAGCUAGUCGCCAGCCAAUCACAGAGCACAUAUAGACAAACAACAAUUCACACUCACAUUCAUACUGAUGGUUUUCUAACCUGUCAUUUUAAAAAAUGAUUCCAAUAAUUCCUGGUUAAUAUGAUUUGUUUUGGGAUAGUUCAAGACAAUUAUAAUUGUAGAUGAUGGACUGCAGUGUUUUUUUAAGUUGAAUUUGCAGUUGUAUUUCAAUUAUUUUAGAACAUCCAA